CAAAGCUUUGCCUCGUGCCAACAGUCUGAGCCCUGCACUCCCUCUCUCUGGGCCGGUGGGGGUUAUUCCAGCCUCCACCAAGCAAUCGCUUACCCCUGCACUGCUCCAGGGCGACUCGUGAAGGUGCCCUCCACUUGACCUAUCCAAGGUGGCUGACAGCAACAUAACACACAACCAUACACCCCUCAGAAACCGAGAAGCCGAAUUUCUGCAACAAUUUGAUACCAUGUGCCAGCGGUUCUGGAGAGGCUGAGAGAAUCGACAGAAGACACCUAC